rnacentral:rRNA from 1 species
UAGCANNUCAAUAAGNGGNNGANANGNAANUAACAAUGAUUCCCCUAGUAACGGCGAGUGAACAGGGAAAAGCUCAAAGUUGGAACCUCCUGGCCCUAGGCCUGGCGGAUUGUAAACUAAAGCUUUCAGGUAGCUCGGCUAGCCCGGUAAACAAGUUCUCUGGAAAGGGACGACAAAGAGGGUGAAAUCCCCGUUUUUGGCCGGAGCAUCAGUCCAGCGUUUGCUUGGAAGUGAAGAGUCAGGUUGUUUGGUAUUGCAGCCUAAAGCUGGAGGUAAAUCUCUCCUAAAGCUAAAUAUUGACGAAAGACCGAUAGCGAACAAGUACCGUGAGGGAAAGAUGAAAAGCACCUUGAAAAGGGGGUCAAAAAGUACGUGAAAUUGCUGAAAGGGAACCGUAUGAAAUCAGCCUGUCUCUUUGGUAAUCAGCCUGGGCUUUGGCCUGGGUGCACUUGCCAGUGAGUCAGCCUACGACAAUUUGACUUGGGGGAAAAAAUCAGGGGGAAUGUGGCCUAGGCUUCGGUCGAGGUGUUAUAGCCCUUUGAAAAAUACCCUGGGUUGGAUUGAGGAUCGCAGCNGGCCAUUUGGGAUGAACUGUGGGCGCUUGAACUUGACUGNGAAGAAAUCUCUAUCUCUGGUAGUGUCUUUUCAGCCGGGCGCAACUCGCCUACUUUUUCUUUUUCCUGCUUAGGUCGUAGGCAUAAUGAUUUUAUAUGACCCGUCUUGAAACACGGACCAAGGAGUCCACCAUAGUUGCGAGUCUUUGGGUGUAGAAACCCGGGGGCGUAAGGAAACUGACCAAGAUAUGAAGGCCUCACGGCUGGCAAUAUCCUCCAGCGAGGACGUUUUAUACUGAAUUGACUGAGAGAAAGCAAUUAUGAUGGGACCCGAAAGAUGGUGAACUAUACGUGAAUAGGGUGAAGCCAGAGGAAACUCUUNNUGNAAGCUCNUACGCGAUUC